AAUUACGUUGGUAGAGUCCGUCCAGCUGCGUUCUCUUCUAGGUCGCCAGCUCCAAAUGUCCAGGCCAGAAUGACGUGAAAAGCCACCACUCCCCUUGCUACCUGUGUAAUCCAUGUGUACUCGAACUGAGCGCUGGUUUUUCGGCCCCAGUUUCCUUCGGAAACCGGAAAGCUCCUCAGACUCUGUUUUGUGGCUGCGGACCUGGGAGAGUCAGCAGCGCAGCCCUGGAAGGUCCCAGGGCCCCUUUGGGUGCGUCAUGGAGGCAGCCAUGGAACUUCUCAAGAUAGAGGACCUGCAAUGUUGGGAAACAGGCCGUAACAGGACCAAAGAAACCUGGAGAAGAACAAGAAGAAUGAAUUCUUCUCUGGUAAAUGCUCCCCAGGGUCUGUUAACAUUCAAGGAUGUGGCAGUGGACUUCUCACAGGAGGAAUGGGAAUGUCUUGACUGUGCUCAGAGGGCAUUGUACAUGGAUGUUAUGUUGGAGAAUUACAACAAUCUAUUUUUUGUGGAAAAUCAUUACAUAUGUCAUAAAUAUGAGAACUUCUUGGAUCAAGACACACAGCAUAUUGUCCAUGAGGAUAUAAAUAUCAAACUGAAGUCUUAUAAAUGUCAUGAACUUGCCAAAAUCAUAUAUGAAUCCAGUCAAAGUACACCUUAUAAAACUAACCUCAGGGAUACAUCUAUUGAAUCGUCAAACCUCAACAGACAUGAAACUGGAAACACCAGAGAACCCUGCAAAUAUAAAAACUGUGUAAACUGUUUAAAUUUGUGUUCUAGCAUUGGUCUAAAUCAAGGAAUCCACAUCGGAAAGAAAGAUGAUGAGACAUUUUACUCUAACCAAAACCUCAUGCUGAAACAAACCAAAAGCAGAAAGAAACAUUACAAAUGUAGUGAAUAUGACAAAUGCUUCAUCCAGAAAGGUGAUCUUAGAAGUCAUCAGAGAAUGCAUACUGGAGAGAAACCUUACAAAUGUAGUGAAUGUAACAAAUGCUUUACUCUCAAAAGUAAUCUUGGAAUUCAUCAGAAAAUUCAUACAGGAAAGAAACCUUACAGAUGUUUUGAUUGUGACAAAUGCUUUACCAACAAAUAUAAUCUUAGAACGCAUCAAAGAAUACAUUCAGGAGAGAAACCUUACAAAUGUAGUGAAUGUGACAAAUGCUUUAUCCAAAAAUUUAGCCUUAUUACUCAUCAGAGAAUUCAUACAGGAGAGAAACCUUACAAAUGUAGUGAGUGUGACAAAUGCUUUACCAACAAAAGUGAUCUUAGAGGUCAUCAGAGAGUUCAUACAGGAGAGAAACCUUACAAAUGUAGUGAAUGUGACAAAUGCUUUACCCACAAAGGAAGUCUUAGUAUUCAUCAUAGACUACAUUCAGGAGAGAAACCUUACAAAUGUAGUGAAUGUGACAAAUGCUUUACACAAAAAUGCAAUCUUCUUACUCAUCAGAGAAUUCAUACAGGAGAGAAACCUUAUAAAUGUGCUGAAUGUGACAAAUGCUUUACUAACAGAAGUGAUCUUAGAAGUCAUAAGAAAAUUCAUACAGGAGAGAAACCUUACAAAUGUAGUGAAUGUGACAAAUGCUUUACCCACAAAUUCAGUCUUAGUAUUCAUCAGAGAUUACAUUCAGGAGAGAAACCUUACAAAUGUAGUGAAUGUGACAAAUGCUUUACCCAAAAAUGCAAUCUUCUUAUUCAUCAGAGAAUUCAUACAGAAAAGAAACCUUACAAAUGUAGUGAAUGUGACAAAUGCUUUAUCCAAAAAUGCAGUCUUCUUAUUCAUCAGAGAAUUCAUACAGGAGAGAAACCUUACAAAUGUGCUGAAUGUGCCAAAUGCUUUACCGACAAAAGUGAUCUUAUAAAUCAUCAGAGAAUUCACACAGGAGAGAAACCUUACAAAUGUAGUGAAUGUGACAAAUGCUUUACCCACAAAUGUAGUCUUAGUAUUCAUCAGGGGAUUCAUGCAAGAGCAAAACUUAAAAAAUAUAGUGAAUGUGAUAAAUUCUUUAUCUAGAAACGAUCUUAUCAUUCAUCAAAGAAAGUAUACAGUAGAGAAAUUUUACAAAUGAAGUGAAUGAGACAAAUCAUGUACCAAGGAAGAUCAUCUUAGAGCUCAUCAGAGACUACAUAUAGGAGAGACAUCUUACAACUGUAGUGAAAAUACAAAUCUUUGACUCUUGGCUGAUGUCUUAGAAUACAUCAAAGAAUACAUACAGGAGAAAAAUCUCAGAAAUGUAAUGGAUGAGGACAUGUCUUUACCCAAAUCUCAGGUCUAAGAAAGUAUCUGAAAAUUUAUAGUGCAGAAAAUAUUUCCAAUGGAAAAAAACUGUGGCAUGUGCUUUAUCCAAACAGUAUUCUUUACAAUACUUGAGGCUCCACACUAGAUAAUUAUCAACGUGAGAAAAUUGUGAACCCCUUCAGAUAAUGUUCAAAUAUUAAAAUCUGUCCAGCAUUUGUGGUGAAAGAAACUCUGAAAAUGUGAGCAUGAAGGAAAUAUUUCAUUAAAAGGGUUUACUAGUUCUCCUAAAUAUUCCAUAAUGAAGGCAAAGUGAGAAAGCCAGAAGAAUGGGGUAUUGUGUAACAGUUUCCUGGAGACUGAAAUAAUCCAUUGCAAAGAGAAACUGAUUAAAGAAAGGCAUAUCACCUUCAUGAAGCAAUCCUGAGAUGAAGUCUCUUUGGGACCUUGCCAUCAAUCUCACCUAUCACAGACCAAGAAAAAUGGUGGGCCACCUCCAGGAAGGCUACCUGUUAGCCUUAGCCUAUCCUAAACAUCACCUGACAGUCAGGGAAAUGCAAAUCAAAAUGACUUUGAGGUUCCAUCUUACACCCACCAGAAUGGCUGAGAUUAAAAACACCAGGGACAGCACAUGCUGGUGAGGAUACAGAGACAGAUGAACAUUCAUCCACUGCUGGUGGGAUUGCAAUCUUGUACAACCACUGUGGAAAUCAAUUUAGCAGUUUCUCAAAAAAAAAAAAAAAAAAAAAAAAAAGGAAAAAUUCUACCUGAAGACCCAGCUGUACUGCUCCUGGCACAUACAUAAAAGAUGCUCUGAAGGCCAUGUGCUCCACUAUGUCUUAACAGCUUUAUUCAUAAUAGAAAAAUUGAAAACCACCCAGAUGUCCCUCAACAGAAGAGUGGAUGCAGAAAUUAGUGUUCAUUUACACAAUGGUAUACUAUUCAGCUACUAAAAGCAAAGAAAUCAUGAAUUUUGCAGGCAAAAGGAUAGGACUAGAAAAUACCCUGCAUGAGGUAACUCAGACCCAAAUGGACCUGCUUGCUAUGUACUAAUCACUGAUAAGUAACUACCAUAAAGUACAGGAUACUUAUCAUACAUCCCACAGACCCAAAGAAGUUAUACAAGGAGUAAGGCCUAAAGGAGGAUGCUUGAAUCUCUCUUAGAAGGGGGAAUAAAAUGGUCAUAGGAGGCAGAGGGAGUGGGGAAAUUGGGUAGAAGAGGGGAAGGGUCAUCAGAAUUAGGUGUGUAAAGAGACAGGAGAGAGAACCAGAAGAAUGAAUGGAAAUCUGCAGCUGCCAGAGGUGGGGUUUGGCCGGAAUCUUAGGGUGUUCCAGAGUUCUAGGAAUGGGGAAGGAGUCAAUGCAGGUGUCCUUAGCUGAGAUGCCUAACAAUGGGGGCAUGCAGCCUGAAGAAGCAACCUCUUGUAGCCAGGCAGGACUCCUAGUGGAGGGAUAAGGACACCAACCCUCCCAGAAAAAGUUCAACUCAAAAUUUGUCCUGUCUAGAAGAAAUGCAGGAACAAAGAUUGAGUAAAAAUGGAAGAAAUGUCCAUCAAUAACUGGACCAACUUGAGACCCAUGCCAUAGGCAAGGACCAAUCCCUGACACUACUAAUGAUACACUGUCAUGCUUAUGGAUAGGAGCCUAGCAUAAUUGUUCUUUGAGAGGUUCUACCCAGCAGCUGACUGAAACAGAUUCAAGUACACACAGCCAAACAAUGGAUGGGGUCACAGACUUUUAUGCAAGAGUUGGGGGAAGAACUGAGGAACCUAAAGAAGACAGAGAUCCUACAGGAAUAUCAACCGUCAAUUAACCUGCACCCUUGUGGGUUACCAAACACUGAACCACCAACCAGAGAGCGAACUUGGGCCAGACCUAGGCCCCUGCACUUAUCUAGCAGAUGUACAGCUUUGUAUUCAUUCAGGUCCCCGACAACUGCAGCUGGGGCUGUACCUGAAUCUGUUGCCUGCCCACCAUAACUGUCCACUGAGAAGCACCACCCAGCAGCCAAUGGAAAGAGAUUCAAAUACCCACAACUGAACAUUAAAUGGAGCUCUGGGACUCUUAUAUAUGACCUGGAGGAAAAAUUGAGGGAUGGGAAGUAGACAGAGACUCCACAAGAAGUACUGGCUGGUUUUGUGUGUCAACUUGACACAAGCUGGAAUUAUUAAAGAGAGGAGCUUAAGUUGAGGAAAUGCCUCCAUGAGAUCCAGCUGUGGAGCUGGAUUUUUUUUUUAAUUUGUUUAGAAAAUUCUAAAUUAGUGAUCAACGGGAGAAGGCCCAUUGUAGGUGGAGCCAUCUCUGGUCUGGUAGUCUUGGGUUCUAUAAGAGCAAGCUAAGCAAGCCAGAGAAAGCAAGCCAGUAAGAAACAUCCCUCCAUAGCCUCUGCAUCAGUUCCUGCUUCCUGACCUGCUUAAGUUCCAGUCCUGAUUUCCUUUAGUGAUGAACAGCAGUAUGGAAGUGUAAGCUGAAUAAACCCUUUCCUUCCCAACUUGCUUCUUGGUCAUGAUAUUUGUGCAGGAAUAGUAACCCUGACUAAGACAAAGACCAACAGAGUCAACUAAUGUGGACCCUUGGGGGAUCCUAGAGAUUUAACCACCAACCAAUAGUAAUUAUGUACUGGACCUAGGCCUCCUGUACAUAUGUAACAGAUGUGCAGCUUGUUCCAACAACUGGAGCUGGGGCUGUCCUUGAAUCUGCUGCCUACCUACCUGUGCAUCCUGUUCCCCUAAGUCGCCCUGCCUCAUCUGGCCUCAGUGAGAAAGAAUGUGCCUAAUGUGCCUAGUAAAGCAGUGACUUGGGUGUGGGGGCACUGUAGUGAGUAUGUGUAUGAGGAUGGAGGAAUGGAGGGAAAAUUUGUUUUAGGAGGUACUAGGAGUAGGAGGCUGAUAUUGGGAUGUAAAGUGAAUAUAUGAAUUUAAAAAAUACAGAAAAAAAUCAGCAAGAUAAUUCUAUUAUUUAACUGUGUGGCUAUUCCAAAGUGCUGCAAGUUUAUUUUCAUCCAUGCUUUCUAAUGCCCUGGUUCUACCACUUGUGUUUUCAAGAGCCUGGGCCUUCCCAGACAGCUUGAACCAUUUCACUCUCGUCCUCUAUCCCUGCUUAUCCAGAUUUUCUACUCAUUAUUCUAUCUCCUGUUUCAUGUAUGUUUGGGAACAGGUUUUGUAUGGGUGACCAGGCUGUGAUGUAUUCAUAACUCAAACUGCAAUGUAAAUUACACUAUAGUUUACCAUAGUUAACUCCACAUCCUUCAGCUUUGACAUUUUUCCCAACUCUGUAAUAUGUUUCUUAUGGUUUAGAUGUUGUAAUAUGGAUGUUUCCAUUUGGUCAUUUGUUAUUUCUCUCUUCUUGAUGGAGAAAAUACAUACUGAAAAUUUGAGGAGCAUAGUAACCAUAGUGUGUAACUAAAACUUUGACACC